AUUCUGCCUCUGCUUUGCAUUAGUUCUUGAUGAUAAUGAAGAAUAUUUUGUUUUCUUUAAAAUUCAUUACAGAAACUUUUGUUGAACCAGCUUGUUAAGAUAGUUACCAGGACAGGCCUGGCGCGGUGGUUCAGGCCUGUAAUCCCACUACUUUGGGAGGCCGAGGUGGGCAGAUCACUUGAGGUCAGGAGUUCGAGACCAGUCUGGCCAACAUGGUGAAACCUCAUCUCUACUAAAAAUACAAAAAUUAGCCAGGAGUGGUGGCAGGUGCCUGUAAUCCCAGCUACUCGGGAAGCUGAGGCAGGAGAAUCACUUGAACCUAGGAGGCGGAGGUUGCAGUGAGCCCAGAUCGCACCACUGCACUCCAGCUUGGGUGACAAGAGCAAGACUCCAUCUCAAAAAAGAAAAAACAGAAAAAGAAAAAAAAAAGACUGUUACCAGGACAAAUCAUUUCAGUUAAAGAGUAAGUAAGCCCUUACAAGUUUGUGUUUUUGAGUUUUUAAUCUACCAUUAAAUCAUAUUUCUUCUUUCUCAUCAUCACUUCCAAUUUCCACAUACAAACACAUACAGUUUCCAGGACUGCCAGUAAUUCCUCUCUUAAGUUUUAUCAAUGUGCAAAGGGAAAACACCUAAUUAUAGUAAAUAAUUUAAUAGGGUGUAUUGGCCAGAAAAUUAAUUCAUAAUAGCUGGGAAACGAAUGAUGACAGUGGUUUGGAAUGUGAUUGGACCCCUGCUCAGGAUAAAACAAAAAAGG
rnacentral:lncRNA from 10 species